rnacentral:lncRNA from 1 species
AUGCCAGUGCAGGCCAAACCCGGUGCCGCCUCCGCGUUCCUGACCAACCCCGGCCCGGUUUCCCCAGGGGCGUCAACCGGGCCUCGCGAUCUAAAAUCUCCAACAGCGGGGGCCGGACGCUCUCCGCGCUCCCGCGUUCAGGGCAGAAUAAGGGCAAUUUCCCCAACAAACGCAGCCAUUGCUGCCAAGUGCGGGAUGAGGGGCCGGCGGAACCUCGGUCUCACCGCUUGGGCAAGAGGACCCCGAGCGGAAGGCCGAGCGGGAGGCCACAGCACGCGCCGAGCCGCAGGCCAGGCCGCGGGCCGCCCGGCCGCCGGGGGUGGGGCUGGGCUGGGCUGGGCUGGCUGGGCUGGGGCUGGGGCUGGGCCGGCCCCGCCCACUGCGGCGGUUCUGACGUCACCGGCUCGGGCAUCCUGGCUGUGGCGUCACCGCGUCUGGCGUCGCGGCUCCGCCGCAGUAGGCGCGGCCCAGGGAGCGCGCGGGUCAGGCGUGUCGGGUCCCGCCCGCCGGGUGGGGCGUCCCUCUGCCCGCUUCCCGUCGGUUCCUCACCUGGGCGGGAGCCAGCGCUUCUUACGUCCCGGCGCUGGGCUCAGUGGAGCGCGGACACGGCGGCGUUGGACGGAGGACGUGGCCGGAAUCCUGUGGGCCGCGGAGGCUCACGGGGCCCGAGGACCUGGGCCCGGCGCUCGCCGCUGCGGUGGCGCGUCCGGCCGUGCGGCCCCGGUCCUCGGCCCACCGCAGACCUCAGGCCGCCGGCCGCGCGGAGAAGGCCGCCGCGGGGGAUGCUUCCGAAGCUGGCCGCGGCCUGGCCCUUGGCACCUUCGGUGCCCGCACGGUGGCCACUCGCCAUCUCAGCCCGAGUCUCGGCCGGGCCUUCCAGAGCAUCGCUGCUGGGGUGGGUGGGGUGCAGGCGUGGAGGAGGCCUCAGGACAGUUUGUGAAGUCGACGACCUUCCCGGAGUCUGGGGGCGUCCGCAGAGAGGCGGCCCCCCAGCGCCCUCCACCCCUGGGACCCGGCUGCUGGCCGGAGCUUCCAGCUGGCCGCUACCCUCCUGCUAGUAAGACUUGGCGGCGUUGCGUGGCACUCGGUGUGACCCACCUCCUCCGCUAG